rnacentral:misc_RNA from 1 species
GAUGAAGAACGCAGCGAAAUGCGAUAAGUAGUGUGAAUUGCAGAAUUCAGUGAAUCAUCGAAUCUUUGAACGCACAUUGCGCCCUUUGGUAUUCCUUAGGGCAUGCCUGUUCGAGCGUCAUUUAAACCUUCAAGCUAAGCUUGGUGUUGGGUGACUGUCCGCUUCACGGCGGACUCGCCUCAAAAUUAUUGGCGGCCGGUACAUUGGCUUCGAGCGCGGCAGAAACGCGAACUCGGGCCCGUCGUAUUGGCUCCCAGAAGCUAUCUUCACAAUUUUGACCUCGGAUCAGGUAGGGAUACCCGCUGAACUUAAGCAUAUCAAUAGCGGAGGA